AUUGAACGCUGGCGGCAGGCCUAACACAUGCAAGUCGAACGGUAACAGGAAGAAGCUUCUUCUUUGCUGACGAGUGGCGGACGGGUGAGUAAUGUCUGGGAAACUGCCUGAUGGAGGGGGAUAACUACUGGAAACGGUAGCUAAUACCGCAUAACGUCGCAAGACCAAAGAGGGGGACCUUCGGGCCUCUUGCCAUCGGAUGUGCCCAGAUGGGAUUAGCUAGUAGGUGGGGUAACGGCUCACCUAGGCGACGAUCCCUAGCUGGUCUGAGAGGAUGACCAGCCACACUGGAACUGAGUCACGGUCCAGACUCCUACGGGAGGCAGCAGUGGGGAAUAUUGCACAAUGGGCGCAAGCCUGAUGCAGCCAUGCCGCGUGUAUGAAGAAGGCCUUCGGGUUGUAAAGUACUUUCAGCGGGGAGGAAGGGAGUAAAGUUAAUACCUUUGCUCAUUGACGUUACCCGCAGAAGAAGCACCGGCUAACUCCGUG
rnacentral:rRNA from 1 species